rnacentral:lncRNA from 1 species
GUUCCUUAUGAUAUGAUCUUUCUAAUUUUAAAGCCAAAUUAAACUUUUGACCCCAAUUUCACGGUCCACUGAACAUAGAAAAUGAAAGUGCAUGUUUCAGGUUAAAGUUUUUCAGGUUAAAGUUUUUGGUCAAGGUAGUUUUUGAUGAAGUUGAAGUCCAAUCAACUUGAAACUUAGUACACAUGUUCCUUAUGAUAUGAUCUUUCUAAUUUUAAAGCCAAAUUAAACUUUUUGACCCCAAUUUCACGGUCCACUGAACAUAGAAAAUGAAAGUGCAUGUUUCAGGUUAAAAGUUUUUCAGGUUAAAGUUUUUGGUCAAGGUAGUUUUUGAUGAAGUUGAAGUCCAAUCAACUUGAAACUUAGUACACAUGUUCCUUAUGAUAUGAUCUUUCUAAUUUUAAAGCCAAAUUAAACUUUUGACCCCAAUUUCACGGUCCACUGAACAUAGAAAAUGAAAGUGCAUGUUUCAGGUUAAAGUUUUUGGUCAAGGUAGUUUUUGAUGAAGUUGAAGUCCAAUCAACUUGAUACUUAGUACACAUGUUCCCUAUGAUAUUAUCUUUCUAAUUUUAAUGCCUAAUUAUAUUUUUUAUCCAAUUUCAUGGUCCAUUGAACAUGGAAAAUGAUAGUGUGAGUGGGGCAUCCGUGUACUUUGGACACAUUCUUGUUUAAAUCUGCUAUA